GCUGCUGCAGACAGGAAAAGGAUUUCAAGCUCUGUGAUUAGAUAGCUGGUUUAAUUGAGGCCACCUUCCCUAAAUCCUGUUUGGUUCUGAGGGUAGCACAAUGCUUACACUUCAUCUAGAAAUCACAGGAAGAAUCUCCCCACAGUUUUUAUUUUAUAACUGAGAUUUGAUUGGAUGAGGACCAGUAGAAAAAGAUGUUAACUCAGUUUUGUUCUCUUUCUUUUUGCAUGCCACAAUUCUUAAGUGUAGGUUUCCUUCCACAAUAAGAUAGAGGAAUGGAACACUGUGAUACAUUGCCUAACUCCUCAGAUCUCUAAGAUGCCUCCUUCCCAUUGUCCUUCAAAUGUCGCAUUAGGGCAGGAAAAAAACAUCCAUGGAAAAGAAGAAUAAAAAGGAAGCCCAACAAUAAAGGACUCUGAGUUAGAAGGAUUGCUGGAAAUAUGAGACCAGCCUUCAGGGAUAGACUUUCAGGGAAGGAGACAGGCAUAAAGGCAAAGGACAGUGGAAGAACGGGAAGGGGUAUGCCCAGAGUAGGAUAUGUCCAUUGUUUUCUACUCCUAAUCUCCCCUUGUGUUUGUUAGAAAAGGUGACAACAGUUGAGGCAGAGUCAGCACCUGUCCCAGGACUCCACUUUCCAAAUGGGACAGGAUGAACUGCUGUUACACUGCUAUCCAGUGAGUGACAGCCUCAGAAGUCAUCAACUACCAUGAUGAGAGGAGGUACUGUGGCCGCUGUAACGAUGGUUAUGAAUGAAAAUUUAACAUAGACAUGCCCGCUGUACCACUCCUGGGUGUGCAUACUUAUCGAAAUGAAUGACACUGAAUCACUACAUAUGUAAGAACUGCAUCCUGCCAUCCUGGAUCUUCACUGAGGGCAUCUCAGCCUCAUGAGGACUGGGCUGUGAGGAGUCUCCAGGCUCUGAGAAGACAGCCUCACUAGACCUGGUCUAAGAGGAGACUGCUUUCAAGAAG